AAGCAGUAGCUACCCGCGGGAGCGGGGAGGGGUCCGGGUUCGAGCUUGUGUUCCCCCGGAAGGGUGAGUCUGGACGCGGGCGCGGAAGGAGCGCGGCCGGAGGUCCUCAGGAAGAAGCCGCGGGGACUGGCUGCGCUUGACAGGCUGCACUUGGAUGGGAGCACCUGGUGCCUCGGGACUGCUCCGAUGCCCGGGUCUGUGCUGAAUGUGUAAUAUGCGGAACUAUAUUGAAACAUUACAACCAUCUUUUGAUGGCAACACCCUGAGGACCUCCCUUUUCCAGAUGGGGAAACUGAGGCCCAGAAUUGCUAAGUGGCUUGCUUGAGUUGACACAGGGAGCUCCAGGACUCACCCUCAGCUGAGCCACCUGCCGGGAGCAUGCCUCUGCGCCACUGGGGGAUGGCCAGGGGCAGUAAGCCCGUUGGGGAUGGAGCCCAGCCCAUGGCUGCCAUGGGAGGCCUGAAGGUGCUUCUGCACUGGGCUGGUCCAGGCGGCGGGGAGCCCUGGGUCACUUUCAGUGAGUCAUCGCUGACAGCUGAGGAAGUCUGCAUCCACAUUGCACAUAAAGUUGCUUCACCAUCUGUCACAAGAAGCCUUCAUCAUACCUCGGGUGGUGAAGGUGGCAAGAGAAUUUAUUUCCAGGCUUGGAAAUGUACCCAGCCCUUUGGCCAGAAACCAGCAGUGCAAUUGGCUCCAUCCUAGCUGCAAGGGAGGCUGGGAAAUGUAGUCCUCCUGUGAGGCCACAGCAUGGGCAACAUACGCACUGUCCUCUGCCCAGGGGCAACGUGAGACUGAAGCUGCAGGUAUCACUCCUCCUUGCUUCAAUCUCUUUGCCCUCUUCGAUGCUCAGGCCCAAGUCUGGUUGCCCCCAAACCACAUCCUAGAGAUCCCCAGAGAUGCAAGCCUGAUGCUAUAUUUCCGCAUAAGGUUUUAUUUCCGGAACUGGCAUGGCAUGAAUCCUCGGGAACCGGCUGUGUACCGUUGUGGGCCCCCAGGAACCGAGGCAUCCUCAGAUCAGACAGCACAGGGGAUGCAACUCCUGGACCCAGCCUCAUUUGAGUACCUCU
rnacentral:lncRNA from 10 species